GGUCGACUGGUGUAGUGGUUUAUCACGUCUGUCUUACAUUUGCGCCUUGUCGGUGUACUGUGAGGACACAGAAGGUCGCAGGUUCGAUCCCUGCGUCGAUCA